UUACAAUCUUCCAACAUUAAUAGGUUCUGAGCAAUUCGAAUUUUCGCGUUUAAUUCAUUUGCCACGUCCCUGUACAUGGUGAAAAGAUCAGACAUCAUCUAAAAGAUCCGAAAUUUUGUUUUACAACACAUACUAAAAUUUCAGGGUUCCAGCGAUAGUACAAGUACCCGAAAAAUGCGAUUUUAUGAAAAAAGUCCAUUUUUUUGCGUUUUUGCAGGUAAUUGGAGGUGUCAACCUAAACUCUGAUGAAAUGGCUGGUGGGAACAAUACUUUGACGCAUGGUGGAUACAAAUUUUUUGCUCGUGACAGGUGGCCGGGACUUGGUUUGGUUUUUUGUAAAAUUAUGAAUGAAAAUGAACCGGAAACGAUCAGGGAAAGGAAGCACCGAAUCAGAAAAUGAAUGGGCUUUCCGAAUCUGUGCAUAUCAAUUGGGGAAAUUGUGUAUUGCGGCCAGGAAAAUUCGGCAAACAUUUUGACGUCUUCGAAAAAUGCCGUUUUUUUGAAAUGUCAGUGUCUUUAUACCGGGGUGAGACGAAAUGAAAUUUGCCCGAUUAUUUUAUUAAAAUUAUUCGAAUAUAUACACGGGUCAGUCGUAAUGAUCUACUUAAUUUAAAAUAAGAAUUUAGAUAUUAGGUGAGUUUUUACUAUUUAGUUUAUUAUUAAUAAAUGUUAACAAUUCUUAAACAUUGCUUUUGGGAUAUAAAUAAAAAUUUUUUGAAAUUAUUGAUUUUUAAGGUUAGUCGAGUAUCAUAACUUUUUUGGUAUUGGUGCGAUUUGGUUGAAAUUUGGUACCUAGUACCUAUUUCGGAUAAGAUUAAUAAAUUUUUACAGAUAUUUGACAUGACUAUGUUUUAAGGUCACGUGAUUAUCAAAACUUUCUUCCUAUUUGUCCGAUUUGAUUGAAAUUUGGUAUUUGGGGUUUAUUUAGGAUGCAAUUAUUAAUUUUUCACAGAUAUUUGACAUUUGACUUCCAGGUCACGUGACUAUUGUAACUUUUUUGCUAUUGGUCUGAUUGGGUUCAAAUUUGGUAUUUGGGCUUUAUUUAAAAUGCAAUUAUUAAUUUUUGACAGAUAUUUGACAUUUGACUUCCGGGUCACGUGACUAUUGUAACUUUUUUGCUAUGAGUCCGAUUGGGUUCAAAUUUGGUAUUUAUGCUUUAUUUAGGAUACAAUUAAUAAAUUUUAACAGAUAAUUGACAAAUUAUAUUUUAAAGUCACGUGACUUUCAUAAUUCUUUUGCUAUUGAUCCGAUUGGGUUGAAAUUUAGUAUUUGAGCUUUAUUUAGGAUGCCAGUAAUACAUUUUGACAGAAAUUUGACAGAUUGAAUUUUAAAGUCACGUGACUUCCAUAACUUUUUUGCUAUUGAUCCGAUUGGGUUCAAAUUUGGAAUUUGGGGUUUAUUUAGGAUGCAAUUGUUGAUUUUUUACAAAAUUUUAAAAUAUUGAGUUCUAGGGUCACGUGACUAUCAAAAUUUCCUAUUUGAUUGAAAUUGGCUAUUAAAUGAUAUGUAUAUA
rnacentral:lncRNA from 1 species